UACGUAGGGGGCGAGCGUUGUCCGAAUUUACUGGGCGUAAAGCGCGCGUAGGCGGGUUUUUAAGUUGUGGGGGAAAUGCCGGGGCUCAACUCCGGAACUGCCUGAAAAACUGGGAGCCUUGAGGUAUGGAGAGGGAAGUGGAAUUCCUGGUGUAGCGGCGAAAUGCGUAGAUAUCAGGAGGAACACCCGUGGCGAAGGCUGCUUCCUGGCCAUAUCCUGACGCUGAGGCGCGAACGCUAGGGGAGCGAGCGGG
rnacentral:rRNA from 1 species